AAAUUUACCACAUCAUUUUGGCGUGGUCCAUGAGGCUCGUCGCACCCAGCUCAAACACUUUCCCUGCUAGCGGUGAUGGUUUUGGAGAUCUAUUCGCAUCUUCUCCCAUUCGCCGAUUCAUCCAAUGUGGAAGACACCAUGUGCUGCAUCACUGCCAAUUUGACCACUCUUUAUAAUUUUGCCUGGUUCCAAUGUGGAAACUGUUGUACAAGAAUAUCAGCUUUACUGUAUGGGAUAUUGGGAUGUUGAUGAUCAGGACAAGGAAUGAGUUCAUCUCCCCACCCCGCCAUGCCCUUUUAUCAUUCUUAUGGAACGUCAUAUAAUAGUGUGAUUCUAGAUAUUUCAUGUUUGUGGUGUGGGAUUAUGUCUUAGCCUUGCCCAAGAAGACUGUUCUUUCUAAAAUCAGAUAGAUCAACUGUUCUUAAACAAUUUGUUAUGAGAUUAUGGAAUGUAGUUAUCCUUUUCAGAUGCUUUGCAUCCCCAUUAUGCUUGUGGCUGAUGAUUUGAGAUAUAUAUAAUGUGUGACUUGUUGCCUGCAUUCCUGCAGACCUUUUAUUUUCUGAAAAUGCUCCAUCCAUAACAUACGAGUAUAAUUGUUUUUUGAUAUAUUUUUUUGUGUGAGUAUAUUGCCUUAGCCUUUGCUGGGUAGAGUCUUAGUGACCUUGGAUGUGUAGGGAUAAUGCAUAGGCGAAAACUAUAUGUGCUUAUGGGACAGUUCGGUGCUGACUGCUGAGUUUACUUUUUCUAUGAGCACCUAACAUAAUCACAAAGCUACAUGUGUCCCUGCACCUUGGUUUUAGCUCUAUUCUUAAGUCUAUAGGGAAGCUAAUCUAUGUGCUUACGAGACGGUCAGGUGCUGAUUAUACAUUGUAUCUGCACCUAACAUAAUCAUAAGCUAUAUUUAUUUCUGCCAACUUGGUUUUCAAUCUCUUCUCAGUAAUAUAGUGAAGAGAAUCCAUGUUGUGGCUGACAUGUUUUGGUAUUUUGAUUAAUUCAGAAAAUACAUCUUUGCAAUUAAAAACUACUUCCAAUGAAAAAGGAACUGUUAAGAGUCCUACAUUGAAAAUAUAAGAGAUAACAAAUGGGUUUAUAAGGUCAUGUCUUUGUCUAGCUAAUUGAUUGGAUUUCAUAUUUUAGUGUGGUUUGGCUCAUGUGUAUUAUAGCCCAGUUGAUUGACUUUGGCCAAAUGUUAUAUUCUUAAGGAACAAGGGCAGAACAACAUGUUUAGUUGGUUCUGAUGAUGAAGGGGUUGGAGACUGAUUACCUUCCCAUUGUAAAUAUGUUACGGAGUACUUGGUUUAGGCUUCUCUAAGUUUUGUAGAAAAUAGAUGAAAUGAACUACCAACUUACCCUCCAAAGAAUUUAAAAGAAAAAAAGAAGCUGAGGUCUGCCCGGGGGAUUGAACCAUUUAUUAAACAUUGCAUUGGGUUCAAAAUGUGGUUUAUUAGUUGUGCUUAGCAAUACUAUUGAAUGAAUACCUUCUACAUCUUGAAAAUUGAAAUUGCUGAAAAUAAAAUGUGUAUUUCCAUCUAUCAUGUUUUGGGUGGUUUUGGAUUCGACCUUUAUGGAGAGACACUAUUUCCAAAACACACGGGGUCUUUUCUUUGUGGUUGACAGCAAUGACCGAGACCAUAUUUUGUAGCAACGAGGAAGGUAUGAGCUUUGCAGGAUAUGUUUAACAAGGUUGGUUUAACAUUCUGGAUUUCGUAUUGAGGAAUAUCAAGAUAAAUGUCUGAGGAUAGCUGCACAUAUUAAAAGCAGUUCUAACUGUUUUCCCAGAAAUAUUAUUUUUACAGGAUUGAAUUAAGAGAUGCUGUACUUGUUUUUGCAAACAAACAAGGUGUCAAAAGAGUUAUACUACAUGAACUUCCUAUUUCUUCACUGUCACUUUUACUUUCUUGCGUUUACAGUGUUGUGUAGAAUACUACAAAGCAUUACAGACCAAUGAUUUGUUAUUCUGAGUCAUGUUUAGUGUUUGUUCAUAUUUUGGACCUAGUUUCUUUGUGAUUUAUGCCAAUUCAUCAGAUGGAUUAGUGCUUUAUUCUGGAAAAAAUAAAUAAAUAUAAAAUUACACCAAA